rnacentral:tRNA from 1 species
GGCUAUACAAGCUUUAGAUAAGCAUAUAUUUUGAAAAUAUAAGAUAAUGGUUAAAUUCCAUUAAUAGCUU